rnacentral:lncRNA from 1 species
UGAGUGCACUGCUUUUACUCAGGCUGGUCUUGCAAGUCCCUGGAAACCUGUCUUUUUGCUUUUACACCAAAUUAAGUCAUGUUGUUUGUCUUGACAGUUGUAUAUAUGGCUGCUUAAAGUGCUGGGGAAUGGAGUACUGGGUCAUAGUACCUCAUGGACACCUUUGGGUGCAGACAAAUUUCAAGAACUUGGCGAUUGUUUAAUGUUCAGAAUUCAAGUCUGUUUGCCAUGUGAAGUGAAGGCCCUGAGGAACUCAAUAAUUUUGUCUUCAUUUGCAACCUGCUAGAAUGUUUGCGCUUGUAUGGAAUACUGAAGAUAAUUGUUCAAGAAUAAUGGCAAAGCUGAAGAAGCUUGUACAGGUUUUUGUAUUUCUUUUUAUGAGUGAACAGUGA